AUGUAUCUUUUAUGGAGAAAGUUGAAACAUCUACAACCUAUUCUCAGAGGCAUGAAUAGGCACGUUUCUGCAGGUGCAAAAAGGAUUGAUGAGUACAGAGUAAACCUCACUAAUGCUCAACAAAGUCUAGCGAAUGAGGAGGAAGAAAACUUAUUGAUGCAGAAGGAAAAAACUAUGUGGCUGCAACUUGGAGACAACAAUAACUCAUACUUCCAUGCAAUUGUCAAGGGUCGAAAUAAGAAAAAUGGUAUUCACCGGAUCGUGGAUGCUAAUGGUGAUAUAUUGACAAACUUUAAGGAGACGGAGAAGUAA